rnacentral:rRNA from 1 species
GAUGAACGCUAGCGGCAGGCUUAACACAUGCAAGUCAGGGGUAACAUGAAAAGCUUGCUUUUCUGAUGACGACCGGCGCACGGGUGCGUAACGCGUAUACAACCUACCUUUUAGCGGGGAAUAGCCCACGGGAAACUUGGAUUAAUGCCCCAUAGUAUAUAGACUUCUCCUGAAGUUUAUAUUAAACAUUUAUGGCUAUUAGAUGGGUAUGCGUCCUAUUAGUUAGUUGGUAAGGUAACGGCUUACCAAGGCAGCGAUAGGUAGGGGUCCUGAGAGGGAGAUCCCCACACUGGUACUGAGACACGGACCAGACUCCUACGGGAGGCAGCAGUGAGGAAUAUUGGACAAUGGGCGAGAGCCUGAUCCAGCCAUGCCGCGUGCAGGAAGACUGCCCUAUGGGUUGUAAACUGUCUUUUACAGAGGAAGAACCACCCCACGUGUGGGGGUUUGACGGUACUCUGCGAAUAAGGAUCGGCUAACUCCGUG